AUACCUGGCCAGGUCCGAACGAACUCUGGUAUUGAUUGGUGCUUGCAUCAUGAUUUACAUUUGAGUGAGUGGCGAACUGGUGAGUAACACGUGGGAAACCUGCCCAGAAGCGGGGGAUAACACCUGGAAACAGAUGCUAAUACCGCAUAACAACUUGGACCGCAUGGUCCGAGUUUGAAAGAUGGCUUCGGCUAUCACUUUUGGAUGGUCCCGCGGCGUAUUAGCUAGAUGGUGGGGUAACGGCUCACCAUGGCAAUGAUACGUAGCCGACCUGAGAGGGUAAUCGGCCACAUUGGGACUGAGACACGGCCCAAACUCCUACGGGAGGCAGCAGUAGGGAAUCUUCCACAAUGGACGAAAGUCUGAUGGAGCAACGCCGCGUGAGUGAAGAAGGGUUUCGGCUCGUAAAACUCUGUUGUUAAAGAAGAACAUAUCUGAGAGUAACUGUUCAGGUAUUGACGGUAUUUAACCAGAAAGCCACGGCUAACUACGUGCCAGCAGCCGCGGUAAUACGUAGGUGGCAAGCGUUGUCCGGAUUUAUUGGGCGUAAAGCGAGCGCAGGCGGUUUUUUAAGUCUGAUGUGAAAGCCUUCGGCUCAACCGAAGAAGUGCAUCGGAAACUGGGAAACUUGAGUGCAGAAGAGGACAGUGGAACUCCAUGUGUAGCGGUGAAAUGCGUAGAUAUAUGGAAGAACACCAGUGGCGAAGGCGGCUGUCUGGUCUGUAACUGACGCUGAGGCUCGAAAGUAUGGGUAGCAAACAGGAUUAGAUACCCUGGUAGUCCAUACCGUAAACGAUGAAUGCUAAGUGUUGGAGGGUUUCCGCCCUUCAGUGCUGCAGCUAACGCAUUAAGCAUUCCGCCUGGGGAGUACGGCCGCAAGGCUGAAACUCAAAGGAAUUGACGGGGGCCCGCACAAGCGGUGGAGCAUGUGGUUUAAUUCGAAGCUACGCGAAGAACCUUACCAGGUCUUGACAUACUAUGCAAAUCUAAGAGAUUAGACGUUCCCUUCGGGGACAUGGAUACAGGUGGUGCAUGGUUGUCGUCAGCUCGUGUCGUGAGAUGUUGGGUUAAGUCCCGCAACGAGCGCAACCCUUAUUAUCAGUUGCCAGCAUUAAGUUGGGCACUCUGGUGAGACUGCCGGUGACAAACCGGAGGAAGGUGGGGAUGACGUCAAAUCAUCAUGCCCCUUAUGACCUGGGCUACACACGUGCUACAAUGGAUGGUACAACGAGUUGCGAACUCGCGAGAGUAAGCUAAUCUCUUAAAGCCAUUCUCAGUUCGGAUUGUAGGCUGCAACUCGCCUACAUGAAGUCGGAAUCGCUAGUAAUCGCGGAUCAGCAUGCCGCGGUGAAUACGUUCCCGGGCCUUGUACACACCGCCCGUCACACCAUGAGAGUUUGUAACACCCAAAGUCGGUGGGGUAACCUUUUAGGAACCAGCCCGCCUAAAAGGG
rnacentral:rRNA from 1 species